AUUGAACGCUGGCGGCAUGCUUUACACAUGCAAGUCGAACGGGCUAGCAAUAGUCAGUGGCGCACGGGUGCGUAACACGUGGGUAAUCAACCCUUCAGCUCGGGAUAACGCCUUGAAAGGGGCGCUAAUACCGGAUGCGACGCGAGGAGCCUCGGCGCUUCGCGGGGAAGAUUCGCAAGGAUCACUGAAGGACGAGCCUGCGGCCCAUCAGCUAGUUGGUGAGGUAAGAGCUCACCAAGGCGAAGACGGGUAGCUGGUCUGAGAGGAUGAUCAGCCACACUGGAACUGAGACACGGUCCAGACUCCUACGGGAGGCAGCAGUGGGGAAUCUUGCGCAAUGGGCGAAAGCCUGACGCAGCGACGCCGCGUGGGUGAUGAAGGCCUCGG
rnacentral:rRNA from 1 species